UCAACUAAUGGACGCUGGCGCUCAACAUCGCGAGGAAGACUCAUCUAGUUAUCAUAUUUUACCGGAGGAUAAUGCUGAAUUUACCAUAUGAACAGUGUGCUUGUGCUGAAGGUUACAACCAUCCCAUCAGCCGGCAUCCCAAUGAGAGAGGACACUUGUGGCCCAUCCUAAUACUUUCAGGAUGCUGAGUACCACUGCCCUCUACUGGUCCCUCAGCAAACUGAGUAGUUUCUCCAUCUUGGCUACUUCUGCUUCAGGACCUUCGACCAAAUCCCGACCCUUCUUCCCCUGCGAACACAAACGCACAAAUACAACAGAAUUGAUCCAACCGACAUCGAGCUAGUACCCAGUAUGUCAUGUAGCAAGUACUUUAAUGUAACACUCAAGCAACAAAUCCCCUCUUGAUGAAGAGUCCCAUUACCUUUGGUUUCUUGCGGAGGUUAGGGGACAGUUUGAGGCUGAUAACGGAGCCUCGAUCAUCACCCACUAUGACAACAGGAUGGAUGGGAUUAAACUCAAUGUGUGUUAGCUUGGUCUUCUUUUUGGACACCACUGGCUGCUGGCAGAUAGCUUGAUACUUGUUGAUGGCCAGGUCAAAAACAUGGACCUGAAAAAGAGGAUCACAGCGCUACAAUGCCUGACAAACAAUACAGUAUAUGUAUUUUUAUGGAUUUAUGUAAGCAUAUCCAAAGUAAUUGGGUGUGUGUAUGUGUGCAAUGUGUAGGUUUGCUGGCUGCCCACAUGCAGUAAAUGAUCCCACUACAGCCCACUCGUUCUACACAUGAGAUGACUGUGCCAGAUGCACAAAAAGUAUGUAUUUGUCACAGGCUAUCCUGUGAUAGGACUGAUAAUACACCACUAGUCGUCACUACAGUAAACUAUGCAGGCACGGCAUCAAGUUAAAUAACUUUUAUCUGGAAUCACCAGCUUCUACUGGGGCAGGAAGCUGUUAAAAAAACCUUUGUUUUCCCACAUUUGAUGAAGGGUAAUGAAGUUUCAGACAAGCAAUAUGACUGGUAAGCAGGCAACUGUCAUCUACAGCCAUGAAAAUGUCUGAUAAAAACAAAGAAAUUGUUUCAAUACAGUAACAACUAGAACAGUCAAACUGCUGAUAGUUUAAAGUAGGGAGUUCUCAACUGUUCUCAUUCUGGAACCAGCAUUUGUGACCCAAUUGUGUAGAGGUGAAAAACUGAAUGUUGUAUUUGUAUAUCGUAUACCAAAAUGGGUCUGCAACACACAAGUUUAGAAACACUGGUUCAAAGUGGCUUACCAAUCCAUCUGUGGUCACAGCAGCAAAGACAGUGGAGGAGUA